rnacentral:rRNA from 1 species
GAUGAACGCUGGCGGCGUGCCUAAUACAUGCAAGUCGAGCGAACAGACGAGGAGCUUGCUCCUUCGACGUUAGCGGCGGACGGGUGAGUAACACGUAGGUAACCUACCUAUAAGACUGGGAUAACUUCGGGAAACCGGAGCUAAUACCGGAUAAUAUUUCGAACCGCAUGGUUCGAUAGUGAAAGAUGGCUUUGCUAUCACUUAUAGAUGGACCUGCGCCGUAUUAGCUAGUUGGUAAGGUAACGGCUUACCAAGGCAACGAUACGUAGCCGACCUGAGAGGGUGAUCGGCCACACUGGAACUGAGACACGGUCCAGACUCCUACGGGAGGCAGCAGUAGGGAAUCUUCCGCAAUGGGCGAAAGCCUGACGGAGCAACGCCGCGUGAGUGAUGAAGGUCUUCGGAUCGUAAAACUCUGUUAUUAGGGAAGAACAAACGUGUAAGUAACUGUGCACAUCUUGACGGUACCUAAUCAGAAAGCCACGGCUAACUACGUG